rnacentral:rRNA from 1 species
UCCGUAGGUGAACCUGCGGAAGGAUCAUUAUUGAAUACGUUUGGUUCUGAUGCUGGCUCUUCACUGAGCAUGUGCUCGAUCCAUAACUAUUUAUCUUCUCUUGUGCACCUUUUGUAGUCUUUCAAAGAAGUGAUAACUCCUCGCAGCAAUGCGGUUUGGGGGACUUGGGCGUGAGCCCCUUCCCCUGCUUUUGCUUUUUCUGAAGGGCUAUGUUUUCAUAUACACUAUAAAGUUACAGAAUGUCUUUUAAAGAUUGUGCUAGUCGCAGUCAUUAAACCUAUACAACUUUCAGCAACGGAUCUCUUGGCUCUUCCAUCGAUGAAGAACGCAGCGAAAUGCGAUAAGUAAUGUGUAUUGCAGAAUUCAGUGAAUCAUCGAAUCUUUGAAUGCACCUUGCGCCCUUUGGUAUUCCGAAGGGCAUGCCUGUUUGAGUGUCAUUAAAUUCUCAACCCAAAAAGCUUUUACUAGCUCUUUUGUGGCUUGGAUGUGGGGGUUUUUGCUGGCUUCCUUCAGUGGAUGGUCUGCUCCCCUUAAAUACAUUAGUGGGAUCUCUUGUGGACCGUCACUUGGUGUGAUAUUAUCUAUGCCAGUUGACUUUGAAGCAAAACUUAUGGGAACCCGCUCAUAACCGUCUUCGGACAACUUAUUGACAUUUUGACCUCAAAUCAGGUAGGACUACCCGCUGAACUUAAGCAUAUC